GCCGGGAUGGUGGAAUCGGUAUACACACACGGUUGAGGGCCGUGGUUCUUUUGAGCAUGCGGGUUCAAGUCCCGUUCCCGGCACCA
rnacentral:tRNA from 1 species